AUGAUGUCAGGCCUGAUCAUGUGACUUGUUCUGGCCAAUGGGGUGUGAGGCAGCCAGCAACUGGUUCUUACAAUUCUUUCCACUGUUGUUUUUUUUCCCCCUGUCUAUUCCACAAGACCAUCUAGACAAGAUGCUGCUGGCCAUGCCAGGCCCCACAGCAUGAAAGAUGUCAACCUGAGCUGAAGCCACUUCGAGGGAUGUGUCAAUAAACCAAGAUGUGAGCUUCCUGCUCCUGCCACCAGGCCUGCCUGCUGCUGUGACUCCCAGUCAGGAUGCAUUCUUAUUCUUCUGGAACUGUAAGCGCAAGUAAACAUUUCUAUUAGUGGUCUUGGUUCUGAUGUUUGAUCUCAGCACUAGAAAAGUAACACAACACUUGGCAUUGACCUUUGGCCUUCAUGGAAGGACACACGCACACAUACACACACGCAAAAGAGAAGGUGGGAACUUAUGAUGGGUGUCACUUUAUUGUACUUGUAAAAACAAACUGGUGACAAGCCUUUCGGGCCUGGACUCUACACACUGAUGCAGUGGCUGUGUCGCCUAGGACACUGAUAAACUUUGGGGUUCAAGCAAACAUCUCUGAACUCCAGAAAUCCCAUCACCUUGUGAUACAUACCAGAAGGGACCUAUGUUCGUUGUUGAAAUGAAGGCAUCAUGAGGUUGGAGUUAUUGUUUUCAGCAGAAACCAGUAAAAUCUGACCUGGGGUCAUGAUGCUGAAGAAGACUGACCAAUUAUGGCAAAUAAAAUUUUCUGUGUGGCCACGCUUGUUUGAGCAAACUACUUCUGUAGUGUGUGUGUUUGAAAAAGCCUAAGGGGAACAGGCGAGCUCACUGUGUUUCACCUGAGCAUUUCCUGAGCACUAAGGGGCCGAUGCCACAGCGGUUAUUAUUUGUCACACUGUAAGACUUACAAAGGAGCUCACUGGGAGUGCAUAUGACAUGCAGAACAAUGACUACUAAGUCACAAACUGCUCCUAGAACCUUCAUGAUGCCGCUUUUCAAAGCCAGACCUGGGAUUUCUGUCACAAGGAGAGGACAUCCAGUGAAUGGCUUCAAACAGCUUUGAUGUCCUCUCAGAUGAAACUGAUUUCUUCUUUCUCCAUGAAGAGAGAAGAAACUGCAUACAUGCACUCAGCACAGAGCCUCCGGAGAGGCAGUUUUGGAUUCCGUGAAUACAGUAAUACCUAGGAAGCAAAGACCCAGGCAGGGAAUAGGGUGCUUGCCUGGCAUAUGUGAUGUUCUGAGUUCAGUCUUCCACAUCUAAAGUGUUUGUAGACCAUGAGAUUAAGCAGUCAGCUUGCUCUGCAACACUGCUUUCAUUUUGUUGCCAUCUUACAAACAGCUGCCUCUGGAGCCACCUGCUGACACAGUGUAGAAUCCUUUGCAGCUAAGAUCACUAAGCAAAGCGGCUCUCCAAGCAAACAGGAGAGAAGCUCAAGAUUAGACUCUGCUCCAUGGACUUCCCACAGCCAAGCAGUUAAAUCAUCCUGAAAAUCUCACUGGUCAUGUGAAUACUCGGAUCCAGUAAAUGGGGUAGCCAUGUGAGGUCCUCUAAAACUCAGGGACCUUUGAUUGAAACUACUGUUGACGUGGUUUUGAGCAAGGAAUAAAUACUGAUCAUGGCUUGCCACCAUCUA